rnacentral:rRNA from 1 species
UACGUAGGGUCCGAGCGUUGUCCGGAAUUACUGGGCGUAAAGAGCUCGUAGGUGGUUUGUCGCGUUGUUCGUGAAAACUCACAGCUCAACUGUGGGCGUGCGGGCGAUACGGGCAGACUAGAGUUCGGUAGGGGAGACUGGAAUUCCUGGUGUAGCGGUGAAAUGCGCAGAUAUCAGGAGGAACACCGGUGGCGAAGGCGGGUCUCUGGGCCGAAACUGACGCUGAGGAGCGAAAGCGUGGGUAGCAAACAGG